GCUCACCCAGCUCUCCCGGGGGCCAGAGGGGCGAAAUCGGCACAUUCAGGGACUCUUCUGAAGCUUCCCAAGCCUCGAAAGAGUCCCAGAAGGUGGCGAUUUCGCCCCCACUGGCCCCGUGCAGGUGUGGGGGGAGCCUUCCAAGGGUCCUGGAAGGUUUUAUGCGCGCCCCCCCAACUCCGUGCGGUCGGCGAUGUGGCUUUGUGAAAAGGCUAGAGGACGGUGGGAGGCGCCUCGGGAAGGAUGGCGCUUCGGGCGAAGAGAACCGGGGUGAUCCCCAGUGCUACUUCUCCUCCGACUUCUGCCAGCAGCCAACAGUCGGGCGCUAUUGCCCUAUGGAGAGCCAUUUCCUUUAGCCACUGGCAUCGAAAGGGAGCCUCGGCGCAGUGCCGAAGACCGCAUCCACAGAAAAACUUCACAGUCUUCAAGAGCAAUCAGGGCAAAGCGGUGUCAUUCUGUGGUCUUAAGCAUUGGUGGGAGGGGGUGGAGAGAGAGAAGCCGGCCACAUUAGAACAGCUUAAGGAGAUGGCUUUAAAAGGCAGGCACACUUUAAACGGAACUCCUGCCCUGUGCAACUGGCAGAUGGGCUAG
rnacentral:lncRNA from 1 species